CCGUGAACAAAUAGCAAGCUAGCUGGGAGACAGAAAUAGAAGGGGAAGAUAUAUUUCAUUGGUGCCCUCAACGGAAGUGUGUACGCCCGGUGUUUCAGUUGGUCUGAAUCAUCUCCAGAAAUUCGAACAACCAUAGAUUGGACCACCGCCUUUGAUUUCAAACAACCCGCAUUCAAUCUCAAUCGAGAAAGCAUAUCAAAGGGCGAUGGAUCGAGGUUGGAUGAGUCAACCAAGAGCUAGUGCUGCUUACAAAGAUGGUGUCGAGCAAUUUCUGACUUUUGCAUUCCGUGAUGUUCCGGCCGGUGAUAGAAUUCUUUGUCCUUGUGUAAAUUGCCGAAAUAAAGCUAUGCAGAGUUAUGAUGGAGUGAAGACUCACUUGAGAUGUGAUGGUAUUCUUCAAGGUUACACUAAGUGGGUUUGCCAUGGAGAGGAUUACAGUGAACCAUCAUUUGCAUUUGCUCAUGUAUCAGAUAACAGUGGCAAUCUUUCUAUUCCUGGCAUCCCAAGGAAUGUUGUUGGAGAAAGCAGCCAUGGAAGGUUGGAUGACAUGCCAGGACUCUUAAGUGCCGUCUUUGCUAUGGCUAACAGUUGUGAAUCUUUAUCAAGCACAUCUGAUGGUGAAUUAGAUGGCCUUGAAUUUGAGAAUAUGGAACCAAAUUCAGUUGAGGAUGAGAAUGCAGAUGCUCAAACAAGUAAGAAACCUGAUACAUAUGCAAGCUUCUUGGAGGAUGCAAACACAGAGUUAUACCCUGGAUGUAAUGCAUUUUCUAAGUUGUCAUUUCUCAUCACCUUGUAUCACAUGAAAUGCUUACAUGGAUGGACACAAGAAUCAUUUACAACGCUACUUGGUGUUUUGUCUGAUGCACUUCC